GGUCAUAGCUCAGUGGCACAACAUCUGCUUUGCAUGCAGAGGGUCCUAGGUCAAUCCCCAGCAUCUCCA